rnacentral:lncRNA from 1 species
CGCCGCUGUCCCGCGCCGCUCGGUCCCCGGCCCCGGCCCCGGCCCCGGCCCCGGCCCCGGGCGGCGGGCGCGGGAGGCUCGCGGUCCUGCGCGCUCCCCGCGGGGUCCUCCGCGUCCCGGCGCGCGGCUCGGGUCCUCCGCGGCGGCCGAAGUUUGCUGCCGGCUCCGGUCUCCCUCCUCCUCGGGGCCCGAGGAAACACCCGCUCCGGCUGACGGUGCAGAACUCCAAGGAACUAGGAUGGAGGACACAUUGGAACAAUUAAUAUUUCAGAAUCACCAGCUCCUUACUGGAAAAACUGGCUGUAUAGGCAGAGGUGUUCCUCAACUCCCUAGACUGCCAGGAAGAGAUAUAAGUUUCAUCAUGUUGUCUGUUACAUGCCCAGCCCAUCUACCUCAUGAGUGAUGGAAACUUUUUGUUCCAGCUGCAGAAAUAUUCUUCAAAUAGUUUGAGACAUUACAUACUAUAAUUAAAUUGCAUUAUAUUGCAUUAUAUUUAUUAUAUAAUAGAUUGUUUAUAAAUCACCAUUGUGUCAUAUCAGAUUUUAAUAGAAGCUUGAUAUCUGAAAAAAAGCACUGUAGUAAUACUCCUCAGGCUUUGAUGCUAAUUCCAUUUCUUUGGGAAAAUGUUUUAACUUCUCUGCAUACUAGUCCUAUCUUUCAAGACUUGUGUUGGAAGAGAAUGUAUCUUAAAGAACUAUAAAAAAUAAUUAGAUAACUUAUAAUAUUGUGUUUUAUUUUAUUAAUUAAACAUUUGUAUUUUAUAUUUUAAGUUACUUCUAUAGUAUUGAAACACUUUGAAUUAUCUCAAAUUGCAGCUAGAAUUGCAUUUGGUUAUCACAGAUAGCUCUAGUUAACACAGUUAGCAUUUGAAUCCUUAUAGAUUUAACUUAACAGUCCAGUGAUGUUUUAUGAACUGAAUUUCCUUGUAUAUUUAUUAUUCAAUCAAUCUCACGGAUUCUAAAAGUGCUUUUGUAAUUUUACACGAAGUCUUUCAUACUGACCCUUAUAGUAAGACUCACAAUUUAAGAGCGUUAGUUCACAUGAAUAAAAUAUAGUCCAUAAAAAAUCAUCUCUAAGAUAAAUCUCCCAUCUCCCUUACGCUAAUCAUCCCACAAAGGAAAAAAAAAAAAAAAAAAAGAUGCUCACACACCAUAGUAAAAUAAAGCAUAUUUAAGGGGCAUUAUGAUAACUUAAAAUGAGUCUUCAGGCUAUAACAAUAUAAGCAACAUUUACUAUAUUAGUCAUAACCAUGCUUGAAGUUAUGUGAAAAAAGGGACAUUGCAAAGGCUUGGUACCUAUGAUGGUACAUAAAAUAAAAUGGUUAUGUCAUAACUUGAUUUUGAAAUUCAAAGAGAAGAAAGAAGGAAGUUUUAAUACAUAGGGCAUUAAAGUUAGUUUGGUGUCAAUAGGAGCAGAAGCAGAGAUAGAGAGUCUGGGGGAAUGCAAAACAAAUAAGCUGAUUAGAGAGGAAUUUGUACUUUUGUCAUUAGAGUAGGGAGAGAGGAGUUGGAAAAAGCCUCAUCAGGUGAAACAGCUCCAGAUAAAAGCACAAGCUCAGUUGCUUGCAUGUACUUUGUCUUGAACACAUUUCUUUCCUGUCUUUCCCAGGAAAGCUAUUAUAGGUAACUCAGCAUAGCCAGGCCACUUCAGAGGAAAAGCCAGUCUUAUAUGUAGUAUCACCUUGUUGAAAAUGGUGAAUUUAGACAAUUAGUAAUUACUUCCUGUUUCAUUUGUUCCUAGUUUUUCUAUUUAACUGCAAGAUAUAAAGAGAGUCUUUGUAGAAGUAUAAUCAAUUAAGAAUAAGGUAGUUAUGAAAUUGUUACCUAAUAAGAACUACUUUUGGGGCAUGAGGGUGGCUCAGCAGUUGAGCAUCUGCCUUUACAGUCCUGGGAUCCAGAAAAGCAUCGGGCUCCUCACAAGGAACUUGCUUCUUCUGCCUAGUGUCUGCCUCUCUUUCUGUGUCUCUCAUGAAUAAAUAAACAAAAUCUUAACAAAAAAAAGAGAGAACUACUUUUAAUAGUGGAAGAAUAUAUGAAAGUAAUCAUUUUUUUCAUUCUACCUGCAAAAACCUCAGUUUUCUGUAUUAUAUUACAAAUAACUUAGGUGUGCUCAUGUAAAUUUAAAAUCAAAACUAAAUAUUAUCACCUUGAGAUCUCUUGUAAAAUUCCCUAAGACCAAUUUGUUUGUUUCCCACAGGUAACGAGAGUCUUUAUUGAAAAAUAGUUGGAAGAUUGUUAAAUAUUUAUGUUUUACAUUUUAAUUAUUAUGUAUAGUUUUAAUCUACAGCAUAGGUUGGCAAACUUUUUCUGUAAAUGGCAAAAUAGUAAAUAUUUUGGGUUUUUCAGGCCCUUUGGUCUCUGUUAGUAUUAUAUUUUGUCACUGAAGCAUAAGAACAGUCAUAGGAUGUAAAUGAUUCAGCAUGACUGCAUUCUAAUAAAAUUUUAUUUACAAAAGCAGAUGGAGGGCUGGGUUCACUUUGUGAGCUGUCAUUUAUCAAUCCUGGAUGUACAGAAUGUUUAAAUUAAUAAUAUGAAACACAGCUACAUUUUUGCCUGUAAAUCUUAAAUUCAUAGAAGAAUUCUCUGAGCCUUAGAAUUAUUCUCUAUUAGACUGUUUUCUCCACCAGACUAUGAAUUCCUUGACAGUAAGGACCCUGUCAUAGUCAACUCUGUGUAUAUAUAAAAUGACUUGGAUGAGAGUUUGUAUUUCAUUGAAAGACAUUUUCCAUUUUUAGAAGUUUUGUGGGGCAGCCCCCGUGGCUCCGUGGUUUAACACCGCCUUCAGCCUAGGGUGUGGUGUGAUCCUGGAGUCCCAGGAUCCAGGCCAAUGUUGGGCUCCCUAAAUGGAGCCUGCUUCUCCCUCUCCCUGUGUCUCUGCCUCUCUCUCUCUCUCUCUCUGUCUCUCAUGAAUAAAUAUAUAAAAUCUUAAAAAAAAAAAAAAAGUUUUGUGUCUAUCUUUUUAGAUAGUAUCUCAAGGAUCAAAGAUUUUUAACAAUUUGAAUAAUGAAGCAUAACACAUAUAACUGAAGAAAUUAUAGUCUUUUUUCAUUAUUUUAAAUAAAUACUUUUAUCACCUUCUUUAUAAGAUGUAUUAGAUUAAACUUUAUCUUGACCCAACUUUUAAUUUAUAACUCUCACCAUACCUGGGCCAUUUCAUCUCCUAUAGACUCAAGAUAUCUAUCUAGCUCCUGCCAUACAACAUACAAUCUUUAGGCUUCACAAAUUGUUUUGCUGUUGGUCCAAUCCUUUGUAUUAUUUCUGGUAAUAUGACUUAGGGAGUGAAGUAUCUCUAUGGGCUUUGAUUCUUAUUAAUUUUUAUAUUUAAUUUUUUUUUCUG